rnacentral:rRNA from 1 species
GACGAAGGUGGCGAGCGUUGUUCGGAAUCAUUGGGCUUAAAGCGCACGUAGGCGGGCCAUCAAGUGUCUUGUGAAAUCCCACGGCUCAACCGUGGAAUUGCUGGGCAUACUGAUGGUCUUGAGGCAGGUAAGGGCGAGUGGAACUCUUGGUGGAGCGGUGGAAUGCGUAGAUAUCAAGAGGAACGCCGGAGGUGAAGACGAUUCGCUGGGCCUGUCCUGACGCUGAGGUGCGAAAGCCAGGGGAG